AGUAAACUUACAUGCGACGAACAAAAACGCGUCGUGGUGCAUGGUAUGACAAUUAUACAGAGGCUAAUUUUCACAGACUCGCCUGGCGGAGGUCUUAGACCCCGCGGACGGUGUGCAGAGACGAAAGGAAAUUUUACGGUGACGUCCGCAUCGUCAUUUUAAGUGCGUGCACAAUAACGCGAGCCAGUCCGAUUGUAAGGUGGACAGAAAUGACAAGUUACGCGUUGAUUGAAAUCAUAAUUAUGCACACCGGAUUAGCGUCAUCGGUACGAUACGUGAACCGAUUUCAUUGACGUAUCGAGCGUUGUCUGAACCGAUAACUCUUCGACGUCGAACUAUAUUUAGAAAUACAGCGUCGUCUUCGUUGUAAACGCAGAGAUAAAUGCUGCUGCACCAGUUCAACAUUCUUACCCCUUAUCUUUGUCGUCGUGCCGUUGUUGCCGAGUCGCCUAGCGAUUGCUGACUGCAGCUAAUUCGCACGGCAGAUAUUAUGCAUAUGUACGU